rnacentral:rRNA from 1 species
GCUUAUGGCCACACCGCCUGGUUCACGCCUGAUCUCGUUUGAUCUCGGAAGAUAAGAUAGGGUGGGCCUGGUUAGGUACUUGGAUGGGAGACCGCCUGGGAAUACCAGGUGCUUUAAGCU